UGGAAAGUGUCCCAACCUCUCCUUUUGCUUUCUCAUUCACAAAACAGAGACAGACAUCCCAACCUCUAACCCAGGCUUCGAACAGGGAUUGGGAAGAGUGUGGACAAAUUAGAACAUACAGCAGGAAGUUCACUGUGAGCCCCAUUACGAUAUGUAUUGUCACCACACUACACGUGCUACCCUGUUCUGAACUUCAGGUAUGUUUCCUGAACUCAUGCCCUUCUGCCUGCUUCCUCUACAUUUCAUAAAUAAAAGCCAGCUAGCUCUGAAAGAAUCAGAUAUAAUUCAAGAAACCAGUAAGAACAUUUUUAAAAAAUUGUAAUUAGUGUCCUCAGAGAAAUCAAGAAGUUAUUGUACCCAUAAAACAAGAGUGUGCUACUAUACAAAAAGUUGUUUGAGAACAAGAAACGGAGCUAGAAAUUCAAAGCAUGCUCGGUGAGAUUAAAAAUUCAGGGGCAUAAGCUGAAUAAUGUAGUGGACAAGACUGAAAACCAAAUUGGCAAUUUGGAAAAGAAAUUUCCAGAAUACAGAGCAAAAGUACAAAGAGG
rnacentral:lncRNA from 1 species